rnacentral:rRNA from 1 species
GAUGAACGCUGGCGGCGUGCCUAAUACAUGCAAGUCGAGCGAACAGACGCGGAGCUUGCUCCUCUGACGUUAGCGGCGGACGGGUGAGUAACACGUGGAUAACCUACCUAUAAGACUGGGAUCACUUCGGGAAACCGGAGCUAAUACCGGAUAAUAUAUUGAACCGCAUGGUUCAAUAGUGAAAGACGGUUUUGCUGUCACUUAUAGAUGGAUCCGCGCCGCAUUAGCUAGUUGGUAAGGUAACGGCUUACCAAGGCAACGAUGCGUAGCCGACCUGAGAGGGUGAUAGGCCACACUGGAGCGGAGACACGGUCCAGACGCCUACGGGAGGCAGCAGUAGGGAAGCUUCCGCAAUGGGCGAGAGCCUGACGGAGCAACGCCGCGUGAGUGAUGAAGGUCUUCGGAGCGGAAAACUCUGUUAUUAGGGAAGAACAAAUGUGUAAGUAACUAUGCACGGCUUGACGGUACCGAAUCAGAAAGCAACGGCUAACUACGUG